rnacentral:rRNA from 1 species
GACCUCGGAUCAGGUAGGAAUACCCGCUGAACUUAAGC